UUUGACGUCGCUAUCUUUGACACACAUUGUGUUCGCACGUUUUCGUUCAGCUGCAAGUUGUGGAUUGCGAGCCAAGAACUUACGUGUUUCGUGAUCAUCGAUCAGUGUUUGACAAACCACUCGAAGAACUGGGUUUCUGAAAGCUGCUUGGACGUGAAGAUAACAGAUAAUACGAAAUAUGGCAGAAAAGACACCCAUCGGAAGUCCCACGAAAAACCAGAAAUAAGAAAACACCAAAUAGACAUUCCUGCGGAGAGGAAGAAAAAUAUACGAUAUUU